GAAUGGAGAAAAAAAAUACACCUGUGAUCAGUGUGGGACGGGUUUUAGUAGAAAGUUUAAAUUAAAAAGGCAUCAAGUCAUCCACACUGGAGAGAGACCGUUCACCUGUGACUUGUGUGGAAAAUCUUUUACUUGGGCUGGAAGCUUAAGAAGUCAUUUACUCCUGCACAGUGGAGAGAAACCGUACAGCUGUGAUCAGUGUGGGAAAGCUUUUACUUACCGCAGCAGCUUACGACUUCAUCAAGUUUCCCACUCUGGAAUUAAAGCAUACAGCUGUGACUACUGUGGAAAAACUUUCAACCGGAUAGGGUACCGAAAUACACACCUACGCAUUCACACUGGGCAUGAUGUGUACUGCUGUGAUCAAUGUGGCAAAAAGUUUGGAACAAACUCUGAGUUAAAACAGCACAUAGUUACUCACAGUGAGGAGAGACCUUAUCAGUGUGACCUGUGUGAUAAAGCUUUUAAAGCUCUACGUUGCCUCAAAGCACACCAACAGAUCCACAGCAGAAAGAGACUCUACAAGUGCAGUUACUGUGAGAAGCAGAGCCACACAGAUGGAUCCAGUUCUCAGCCCUGUCGUCGCUGUGGUGGUGGGAAAGCGUUUCGCUGUGACCUUUGUGGGAAAACCUUCAGUCAUCAAUUCACCCUAAAAAUGCAUCAGCGUAGACACAGUGGACUCAAACUGAACUACUGCAAAGAAUGUGGGAGCAGCUUCCCCACACCAAAUGAAUUAAAACGACAUGAACUCAUCCACAGUCGGGUUAAAAAGCACCUCUGUGACCAGUGUGGGUCAUACUUCAGCAAUGCAGGUAACCUUAAAAGGCAUAAACGAGUCCACACAGGAGAGAAACCAUACAAGUGCAGACACUGUGAGAAAAGCUUCACAUGUUCAAGUUAUCGUUUCCUUCAUGAAAGUACACACACUGAAGGGAACUACAGCUGUGACCAGUGUAACAAGAGCUUCAAGAAUCUCAGUUCAUACUCCUACCACAAACGAUCCCACGCACAGAAACUGUUUCACUGUUACCAAUGUCCAAAAACAUUCACUUCAUUAUCUGCUCUGUCCAAACAUCAGCGUGAUCAUGCAGGGCUGAGAUCAUUCCCAUCAUUGGAUCACAGUGAAGCUGCAGACACACAAAGAUCCUCUUCUGGUUGCAGGGUCAAACUUAAAAACCUCGAGAUCCGGCUCCACAGAAUUCCGGUUGAGUGUCCUGUAAAGAAUGUCAGCUAAUGUUCCACUUGGACCUUUACAGGAAUGUGGGGUUUAGAAUCCUCUCCACCUUCUGGGAUGUCACCCCCACUAUAGUUUGGUUGAGUCAGUGUAGCAGCCGUUGAUAACUACAUACAUGACGUUGCAUUAGAAUUUCAUUAUUAAAAGAGUAAAUGAUUUGAACAUGUGGUGGUGGCAUGGUGGUUAGCCCUAUUGCCUCACAGCUAGAAGGUCCUGGGUUCGACUGCACCUUGGUCUGGGCCUUUCUGUGUGGCGUUUGUAUGGUCUCCCCAUGUCUAUACAUAUAUAUGUCUAUAUAUCAAAUUUCACAGCAGUGGCUUUCUUUAUCCCUGGAUCUGCAAAUUUUAUAAUCUCGUAAGUGCGAGUUUGAUUUUUACGCUUGGCUCCUGUGCUUGCUUGUCUCCGAUGAACUUAACUGAUUUGUUCAGUACAGCCAAUCCAGACACCACAACUAUAUUGACACUCGAGCAGUCUUCACACAUUGUUAGCUUAUGUAGUUGUGCAUAAACGAUGCACGCAGCUUCUGAAGAUCCUACAUAUUGGAAAUGAGUGUGAUGAGAGCUGAGGAGGGCGCUAAACUCAUCCAACAUUUAAUUGGAAAUAUAUAAAAUGGGAUCAGAUUUUUCAUCACAGGUGAAAAUCCGACCUGUAUGAUCCGAUUUUGGUGCUGAUUUUUAUUGUAAUUAAUGUUAGGAAAAAUUGGGACCCCCACAGAAGCCAUCCGCCUAGAGCGAAAGUCUGAUUUGUGCAUAGUUUGAUGACUUUGGUGAUUUCUACUUUAGUUCAAAUUUUCUUUUUUGGAAUUUUAGUUUUUAAUCCAAUUUAUAUUAGAGUAGGUUUUUCUUUGCUUUGUUUUCAUUAGUUGGUGUUAGUUUUCUUUGUAUUACAUGGAGUAAGAUAAGAUCAAAAAGAUGUGUGCAUAAUUCUAACAUUUGUUUGGUAUUUGAUAAACUGUGGAUUAGGAUUGUUUUUACGUGAGUAUGAAUCUAAAAGCUGUGAGUGCCAAGACUUGUGAAUAAAACUCUAAUUUCUUCAGCCCCAAA